AGCAGAUCAUGCUGGAUCCAUCCCUGAUUGAUUAGAUAGCAAUACAACUGAGCUCUGUAGCCAACUUUUAUAUUGUUAUUAUUGUUAUAUUGUGUCAAAGUUCAAUUUUUCUGUUUUCCAAUUGGACAAAGGCGUAUCACGUGCCGGUCCGCAAAACGUCGUGUUUACUGCGUUGCCCUGACAACGAGGCAACCAAUCCAUAAUAGAACAUUUAUUGGACUGGUCCACAAUAAAAGGGUGCAGUGCGCAUGCGCGUCAACCGUGAAUUUCCAUUUUAUUAAACAUUUACGGCGUUCCAUUUGUCUAGUUUUGGUUUCAAAGUUCACUCCAAUAACCGGUGAAUUAUUCAUACUUUGAAACUUACAUACUAUAUAACAAAAUACUUAGUACUUACAGAGACCUCGGGAAAGCAGUGUGUUUUGUGGCCCCUUCUGCAGAGGGCGAAACCAGCCCCUAUUAAUUAGGGGGUGUCUGGCAAAAUUGCCCUCCAAAACCAAUGAUGCCCUGCAGCGCCAGCACUAAUACAAUACAUCCACAGAGUAAGUAGGUACAGCAGAAGCGUGACUCAAGCAAGUAUUUGUCCGCGUUUUUACAAGCGAUUCGUCAUCAAUCACGCCAUCCUGGCUAGUACAACCGGCACUUUGUACCUACCAAAACCUGACAAAAACUCCGGCUGUACUAGCCAGGAUGGCGUGGAUUGGCGUGAGCGAGUUAAAAUUUUCGUGGACGUAAAACAAUAAGGGAAACGACUAGAGUUACGCUUCUGCUGUAUCUUCUUAUUCUGUGACAUCACUAAGCUACGCGUAUAAUUGAACUGCUGAUACCAAUGUACAUGUGUACGAACUUGCUUAUUGUUUGCUAGCUGUAAUAAGUUACUUAAUAACUUUACAUUCUGCCAUUUAAAAUUGUACUCG